AGAUCAGGCCAAACCAUCCUGAAUAUGCCUGAUCUCACCUGAUCUCGGAAGCUAAGCAGGGACCAGCCUGGUCAGUACUUGUCAGCUCAGUGGGUUAGACCUC
rnacentral:rRNA from 1 species